CAAAGGUGGGGGAGACAAAAAGACAAGGAAGUCUGUCUAACGGGGCUGUUGGACCGUCUUCUUUUAUUUUGCGUUUGUAGAUGAAUUUCCGCCAGGAAUAAAUACCUGCAGGUGCCUUUUAUCCGAGCGUGCGUGCGUAUAUAAUGGUUCGGCCACGAGAGACUGGCAGCGCCCACACAGGACAAUUGGUAAACGAUGCAUCUCGGGCGCAGAAAAAAAACUGUGACCGUGGCGAAAGGCUGAGAACGUUAUAUUGGCUCAUGGCGUGCGCAGUGCCCGCAGUUUCAACGCGCCCCGUGGCGCUUGCUUGCCGGCGGAGUCUGACCGCUGCAAGCGAAAGGACCGGUGACGGCGAAGCCGAGUGGCCGUCGCGGAAUGACGCCACUGCUACUCACAGCGCAGACUACUGAGAAGGUGCUUCGUCCGUGCUACACCCGACAGAAUUCCAGAUGAGUUCCUGCCUCUGCCGCCCGCGAGCAGCCAGGCUAUGGACUGUCCCUUCUGGGACAAUUAAGUUCCAGAAGUCACUGCGGUUCCUGCAUGAGUCAGGCCUGUACUCGCUUUGACGACAUGCUCUGGCGAAUAGUGAAAAGGAAACUAAAAAAGAAAAUGCCAAUCCAACGCAUUUCUUGGAGCCUAAAUACCGCGAAGCUUUGGUAUGGUUUAUAAAGCAUUGUUUGAAAUGCGAUGAUCUGCGUUUUCUCCACGAAAAUGCAAUGUCACUUUCAAGGUCACACGCAGUGUCCAUUCGAGAAAUCAGUGCGUUGUAUUGCUUAGUCGAACGCAGAGACAUGAAACAGUUAAAUGCAGUGUGCAAUGUGGUGUCCUGAAAGGUACAAGUGGUGUUCUUUUGCCAUCACAGAACGGAUGCUUUGAAGUCAGUCUAUAUGCACUUUUUAGUUCAAUGUACG